GGGCUAAUGGUCGAAGGGCAAGAUGUUCGCUUAGGGUGCGAGAGAUUCCGAGUUCGAGUCUCGGUUAGCCCC